rnacentral:rRNA from 1 species
UGAGUAGGCGGUUACAUAUGUCAGAUGUAAAAGGCACAGGCUUAACUUGUGUUAGCAUUUGAAACUGUGUGACUUGAGUGCAGGAGAGGUAAGUGGAAUUCCUAGUGUAGCGGUGAAAUGCGUAGAUAUUAGGAGGAACACCAGUGGUGAAGGCGACUUACUGGACUGUAACUGACGCUGAGUCACGAAAGCGUGGGUAGCAAACA